UGGUGCUGUCAGUGUUGCCUGGGGAGA
rnacentral:piRNA from 1 species